rnacentral:rRNA from 1 species
AGGAUCAUUAAAUAAUUUAGAUGGCCUCCUAGAACUUGU